rnacentral:lncRNA from 1 species
UAAAACUACUGGAGAGUGUCCAAAGGAGGGCUAUGAAGAUGGGGAAGGGUCUGGAGGGCAAGGCUCUGUCCCAGACUGAUCUGGGGGAGAAAAAAGGAAAUUUCCUGCCAACUAGAAGUUCUGAGAAGAUUUCAUUCUGGAAACAACAAACGUUGUAUUUCUGUGUUCCCUGGUUCCUGCAGCUUCUCAGUGAAAAUGGCAUUUGACAGUGACUUGCACUUCACAGAUCUUGGUCUGUGGAUGUCUGGAGGUGGCCAAGAUAGCAAAUGCUUUCAGAAGAAAGAUGACAGAAGAAAGCAAGAAUUGUUUUUGGUCGUCUUUGGCAGGCUAGGUCAUUCCUCUGUUUCAAACACUUUUGCGGAAUGCCUUGCUCUGGGAGAAUACAUCUGAUCUUCCAUGGUGGAAGCAAUUUCCACAUGAAUGCACUGUGUUCCUCUUGUGCAAAUACCUGUGCCUGUGAACAGAUUUGAGCCCAUAAACACUGUUUUGGCUGUUUUGUUUGUCUUUGAAGAUGACUGCCAACCUUCGACUUCCACAGCAGGAAUCUUGCGUAAGACCACAUGUGAAAGAAAACCAUCCAUGUAACAUUUAAAAUCCAUUGUUUUGUUAGUUAAGAGGAAAUGCAGUUAGACCAGUUUUUUAUGGCUUUUUCACAGCUUUCAUGAUCUUGUGGGAGCAUGUAAUCAUACAGCAUUAAAAGGAAAUCCAAAUCUAGAUUCAUCUGUUAUCUUGUUAAGGGGAAAAUGCAUGUGAUGAGUGGAUUGGUAGGAUUAAGUCACUACAAGAAAUCAUAACCUUCUGUUGUGCUUGCAUAUAGCAACCUGAUAAUGUUAGUUGUCUCUACCAUAAGGGAGCAGAAUGCCUAUGUUUUAUAACAAAUUGAAACAUGAUGCUGUAGGCACACAGCAUAGUAAGAGAGUGUGUGUAAACACUUGCAUACGUGUUCAUAUAUAUACGUGUACGUUCUUCUGGUACAUGUAUAUUUCUUUCCAGAUGCAGUUGGAGUCCUGGCUGCUGUGAGAGUUAGAUGGCUUUCUUGUGCAAUGUGGGUGUUUAUCAUCCUGCUGUAACUGUUCAUGCUGUUAUGAGUUUCCACUUGGGAGCCAUUUUCAGGCACAUGUUCCUGUCAACCAAGGUCAGCGCUGAGCCAGAGAAGCAGAGCACAGGUGGUAUGUCAUAGUUAGCCUCUUUCUUUUGGCUUCAGACUGUGGCACUUCUCAAUUUAAUUUAUGAUUAAACCAUUGCCCUGAGAUAAUACAAAAAAUCUUAGUGUAUUUCUGCCUGGAUUUCAGAGAAAUGGUUCUUUAAAUAAACAAGGGAAAAAAUGAGUGAAUGCAUAAAAAGGGACUCAGACCUGACCAAAAUCCUGUGGAAAGACUCUUUGGAUUUCAGCAGGCUCUACUUGUCCUUAAUACACACUCUGUUGUGUCUAAUCCUAGGUGGGAGUAUCACAUUUUCAGGCUGUAAGUGGCUACUUGCCUCUCAUAAGGUGCAGUGCUGGUGGCAGUGGAGAAAGCCCAGGGUGAGGGGAGAGUUUGUGGCAAAGAGUGUUUUUUUUCUUUUUUUUCUUUUUUUUUCCUGCUUGGAUGGCAGCUGGAUUCUACACAAAAAAGCCCUAAGGGGAGAAAUACAUCAGGGUCAUUACAACUGUCAUUUGGCAGUUACGUAUUCUUGAAAUAAACUGUUAACACAAUUUUGCUGAUUCUUGCCAAACAGCAAGGGCAAGUUGGCUGUAUUUUUGGAGCUAGAAUGGGACUGCAAGCUUUAGAAAUCCUCUCUACAGUCAGCUGAUGAAAGAAUAUGGGAAACAGUGUCUGGAUGUUAACCUUCUUACCUGCAGAAAUCCAUGCUUGUGUAUGCAUACACAUACUGUGUUUUUGUCAAUUAUCAGUGCAGACUAUCGAAAGUUCCACCAGAUUUUUACUUGUCCUUGAAUGUUAUUAUUAAUAACCUAUUAAAAGGUAAUGCUUUAAGAUCAAGGAUGUUGUUGUUGUUG